CGCCAGGGCCUGUGGAAUGCGGACUGACCAACCCCGCCAGGGCCGGAAGGCAGCAACGGCAGUUUGCUCCGCAUCUGCCGCAGUCACCCUGGUAUUC
rnacentral:SRP_RNA from 2 species